UCCAGACUCCUACGGGAGGCAGCAGUGGGGAAUAUUGGACAAUGGGGGGAACCCUGAUCCAGCGACGCCGCGUGAGUGAAGAAGUAUUUCGGUAUGUAAAGCUCUAUCAGCAGGGAAGAAAGAAAUGACGGUACCUGACUAAGAAGCCCCGGCUAACUACGUGCCAGCAGCCGCGGUAAUACGUAGGGGGCAAGCGUUAUCCGGAUUUACUGGGUGUAAAGGGAGCGUAGACGGCGAUGCAAGUCUGAAGUGAAAGGCGGGGGCCCAACCCCCGGACUGCUUUGGAAACUGUAUGACUGGAGUGCAGGAGAGGUAAGCGGAAUUCCUAGUGUAGCGGUGAAAUGCGUAGAUAUUAGGAGGAACACCAGUGGCGAAGGCGGCUUACUGGACUGUAACUGACGUUGAGGCUCGAAAGCGUGGGGAGCAAACAGGAUUAGAUACCCGCGUAA
rnacentral:rRNA from 1 species